UACGUAGGGGGCGAGCGUUAUCCGGAUUUACUGGGUGUAAAGGGAGCGCAGGCGGCAGGGCAAGUCAGAUGUGAAAUACCGGGGCUCAACCCCGGGACUGCAUUUGAAACUGUCCGGCUAGAGUGCAGGAGAGGCAGGCGGAAUUCCUAGUGUAGCGGUGAAAUGCGUAGAUAUUAGGAGGAACACCAGUGGCGAAGGCGGCCUGCUGGACUGUAACUGACGCUGAGGCUCGAAAGCGUGGGGAGCAAACAGG
rnacentral:rRNA from 1 species